CUCAUUAAAAUGGACAACGAUAGC
rnacentral:miRNA from 1 species